rnacentral:rRNA from 1 species
GGAAGGUCCGGGCGUUAUCCGGAUUUAUUGGGCGUAAAGGGAACGCAGGCGGUCUUUUAAGUCUGAUGUGAAAGCCUUCGGCUUAACCGGAGUAGUGCAUUGGAAACUGUGAGACUUGAGUGCAGAAGAGGAGAGUGGAACUCCAUGUGUAGCGGUGAAAUGCGUAGAUAUAUGGAAGAACACCAGUGGCGAAAGCGGCUCUCUGGUCUGUAACUGACGCUGAGGUUCGAAAGCGUGGGUAGCAAA